AUGUGGAGUGCCCUGUGCCUGGGCUUCUUGCCCAUUGUAGCCGUCUCGCUCGCCAGUGCAGCCACCUUGGAGCAGCCCUGGCAAGUGACCGUGCAAGAGGGAGAUGAAGUCACCUUGCAAUGCUGCAUGAAGGGAGGUGAUAUGUACUACUACUACAUGUACUGGUACCGUCAGGACCCACAGAGCAAGCAAUGGAUUACAACAGGUGAUUCUACAUAUGAAGGUUUCAAGGAUCGCUUUAAGGCAAGACUUGAGAGCUCCAAGAACAGCUACACUCUGCAGAUCCUGGCAGCAGAGCCAGGCGAUACAGCAACGUAUUACUGUAGAGGGGACUCACUCCGGAGCAGCUCUGCAGCAGAGUGA